rnacentral:rRNA from 1 species
GGGUGCGACCAUACCAGCACUAACGCACCGGAUCCCAUCAGAACUCCGAAGUUAAGCGUGCUUGGGCGAGAGUAGUACUAGAAUGGGUGACCCCCUGGGAAGUCCUCGUGUUGCACCCC